CCAGAGUCCUGCAGAACCUCACGGCCGAGGAGUUUGAGAACCUCGAGAAGGCUGACGGCGGUCUCUUUCUGAUCAAUGUGAAGCAGCACAAACCUGCCUCCGCUUUUGGACUCGCUAAGCUGGCCGUCACCAAGCUGGAGCUGAAGUGGCUGAAAGCUUUCUGAGGAAGCAUAUGCUGGGAUAUGAGACUUCUGUGGGGUGGCUUUUCUUUUCUGGCACACAAGCCAGGAUUUCUGCGCAUGUCAAGCUUGCCCUGCGGGCACUCGUGGGAAGGGACAUCACUGUGUGGGGCACCCGCACGGCUCUAGCAACCUACUGCGAACGCAAUCUGUCUGACGAAUGGCGCAUGCUCGUGACCAAAACGAUGUGCCACAGCAAGGAGCUGAGUCGUGGAGUCGUGAGCG